UACGUAGGGGGCAAGCGUUGUCCGGAAUCAUUGGGCGUAAAGCGCGUGUAGGCGGCCCGGUAAGUCCGCUGUGAAAGUCGGGGGCUCAACCCUCGAAUGCCGGUGGAUACUGUCGGGCUAGAGUGCGGAAGAGGCGAGUGGAAUUCCUGGUGUAGCGGUGAAAUGCGCAGAUAUCAGGAGGAACACCAGCGGCGAAGGCGGCGCUCUGGGCCGGUACUGACACUGAGGAGCGAAAGCGUGGGGAGCAAACAGG
rnacentral:rRNA from 1 species